rnacentral:snoRNA from 1 species
UCUCUUGAAUGAUGAGAAUAAGCAAUUUCAGUUAUCCCUGUCUGAUGUAUUCUGCUGAUAGCUUGUGAUCUGACAAGACA